rnacentral:rRNA from 1 species
UACGUAGGGGGCAAGCGUUGUCCGGAAUCAUUGGGCGUAAAGCGCGUGUAGGCGGCUCGGUAAGUCUGCUGUGAAAGUCCAGGGCUCAACCCUGGGAUGCCGGUGGAUACUGUCGAGCUCGAGUCCGGAAGAGGCGGGUGGAAUUCCUGGUGUAGCGGUGAAAUGCGCAGAUAUCAGGAGGAACACCGAUGGCGAAGGCAGCUCGCUGGGACGUGACUGACGCUGAGACGCGAAAGCGUGGGGAGCAAACAGG